rnacentral:rRNA from 1 species
ACGCUCGACACCUACGUGAGGCAGCAGUGGGGAAUAUUGGGCAAUGGGCGCAAGCCUGACCCAGCAACGCCGCGUGAAGGAAGAAGGCUUUCGGGUUGUAAACUUCUUUUCUCAGGGACGAAGGAAGUGACGGUACCUGAGGAACAAGCCACGGCUAACUACGUGCUAGCAGCCGCGUAAUCUGAGCGGGCUGGCAAGGC